AUUGAACGCUGGCGGCAGGCUUAACACAUGCAAGUCGAACGAGUGGCGGACGGGUGAGUAAUGCUUGGGAAUCUAGCUUAUGGCGGGGGUUAACUACGGGAAACUGUAGCUAAUACCGCGUACCAUUGGCUGAGCCCAAGUGGGAUUAGGUAUUUGGUGUGGUAAAGGCUCACCACGUCGACGUUCUCUCGCUGGUCUGAGAGGAUGACCGGCCACACUGGGACUGAGCCACGGCCCAGACUCCUACGGGAGGCAGCAGUGGGGAAUAUUGCGCAAUGGGGGCAACCUGACGCAGCCAUGCCGCGUGAGUGAAGAAGGCCUUCGGGUUGUAAAGUUCUUUCAGUAGGGAGGCGUUACCUACAGAGAAAGCACCGGCUAACUCCGUGCCAGCCGCCGCGGUAAUUC
rnacentral:rRNA from 1 species